UAAUGUAAUUACUACAAUGUUAAUGUAUUGGAUCCCAUUAGUACUCUGCAAUUAAACACACUUGAGCUAGAGUAGUACUGGGAUGGGUGACAUGUCAAGAAGUCCUAGUGUUUUACAUGCC
rfam:Picea glauca, whole genome shotgun sequence.